UACGGGAGGCAGCAGUGGGGAAUAUUGCACAAUGGGCGCAAGCCUGAUGCAGCCAUGCCGCGUGUAUGAAGAAGGCCUUCGGGUUGUAAAGUACUUUCAGUCGUGAGGAAGGUGUUAAGGUUAAUAACCUUAGCAAUUGACGUUAGCGACAGAAGAAGCACCGGCUAACUCCGUGCCAGCAGCCGCGGUAAUACGGAGGGUGCGAGCGUUAAUCGGAAUUACUGGGCGUAAAGGGCACGCAGGCGGUUAAUUAAGUUGGAUGUGAAAUCCCCGGGCUUAACCUGGGAAUGGCAUUCAAGACUGGUUAGCUAGAGUCUUGUAGAGGGGGUAGAAUUCCAUGUGUAGCGGUGAAAUGCGUAGAGAUGUGGGGGAAUACCGGUGGCGAAGGCGGCCCCUGGACAAAGACUGACGCUCAUGUGCGAAAGCGUGGGGAGCAAACAGGGAUUAGAUACC
rnacentral:rRNA from 1 species